AAUACGAAGGGACCUAGCGUAGUUCGGAAUUACUGGGCUUAAAGAGUUCGUAGGUGGUUGAAAAAGUUGGUGGUGAAAUCCCAGAGCUUAACUCUGGAACUGCCAUCAAAACUUUUCAGCUAGAGUAUGAUAGAGGAAAGCAGAAUUUCUAGUGUAGAGGUGAAAUUCGUAGAUAUUAGAAAGAAUACCAAUUGCGAAGGCAGCUUUCUGGAUCAUUACUGACACUGAGGAACGAAAGCAUGGGUAGCGAAGAGGAUUAGAUACCCUCGUAGUCCAUGCCGUAAACGAUGUGUGUUAGACGUUGGAAAUUUAUUUUCGGUGUCGCAGCGAAAGCGAUAAACACACCGCCUGGGGAGUACGACCGCGAGGUUAAAACUCAAAUGAAUUGACGGGGACCCGCACAAGUAGUGGAGCAUGUGGUUUAAUUCGAAGAUACGCGCAGAACCUUACCAACACUUGACAUGUUCGUCGCGACUUUAAGAGAUUAAAGUUUUCGGUUCGGCCGGACGAAACACAGGUGCUGCAUGGCUGUCGUCAGCUCGUGUCGUGAGAUGUUGGGUUAAGUCCCGCAACGAGCGCAACCCUCACUUUUAGUUGCCAUCAUUUAGUUGGGCACUCUGAAAGAACUGCCAGUGAUAAGCUGGAGGAAGGUGGGGAUGACGUCAAGUCCUCAUGGCCCUUACGUGUUGGGCUACACACGUGCUACAAUGGUAUCUACAACAGGAAGCAAAACUGCGAAGUUAAGCAAAUCCUUAAAAGAUACCUCAGUUCGGAUUGCACUCUGCAACUCGAGUGCAUGAAGCUGGAAUUACUAGUAAUCGUGGAUCAGCGUGCCACGGUGAAUGCGUUCCCGGGUCUUGUACACACCGCCCGUCACACCAUGGGAGUUGGUUCUACCUUAAGGCAAGGUUUAAAACCCUUGACCACGGUAUAGUCAGC
rnacentral:rRNA from 1 species